rnacentral:lncRNA from 1 species
CUCAUGCUUCCUUUUCUUCGUCCUUUCAACUGCCUUGUUCCUUUUUGCUCAAUAGUGUCCAUGCUUUGUUUCUCAAUCCAAAUACCUGAAAUUUAAGGUUUUACAUCAGUUAUUGGCAUAAAAUAUGCAUUUGAGAACACUAAAUCUAUUAAAAUAAAGCCCUAAAUGAGUCCAAAUCAUGGACUCAUCAUGCAGAUACAGGUAUUCAGGGUCAUCAACAGGAACUUUGUUGAUACCACAUAGAGUUCGAGUUAUCUAUGGUGAGCCUCCUUGAUUUCAGAGGGUUCCACUUUUACUUUCAGUUAUAUCAGUUGUUAUGAGGUCGUGGGUCUUGUCCCGACUUCCAUCUUUAUCAUUUAGAGGCUUCACAGAUAGACUGUAGAGUUUCAGAAGUCUGUUCAUUUCUUUUAUUAAAUGUUUUAAAGACUUAAGUUGUAUAUUUUAUGGCGAGUUGAAUAAUUUAUUUUUAUUCAGAGUUUUUCAUUUGAGUUAAAGCUUUGUAAUUGAGUUUCAUGAUUUUUAUUCAGUUUUUAAGCUUUGUAUGCUUGAGUUAGUCUUCGUUUGUAGUCAGCUAGGAUGAGGGUUCGCUUAGGGACCAGUAAUGGUUCUCGAGUGUCGGUCACGUCCAGGGUGUAGGCUUGGGUCCUGACAAACUUACUUUCAGAGUACAGAGUUCAAGAGUCCUAGGGUGUCUAUUUAGUUGUGUCAGUCGGGUCUUGUUUAUGGUUGUGAGGGCCUUACUUCUAUUUUCUUUGUGGUUGAUGCGGUUAAAUCAACUAGUAGAAGGAAGGUGGCACAGUUAAUCAACUGAAUCCGUGCUUAGAAAGAAUAACUUUGAAGCCACGUUUAGGGUUUUUCCUUACCUUAGCUGAGCCUUAUGUCCCUUCAGUAUUCCUAUUCAUAUUGCCUUGUCUUGGGCACCGCAGUGGACUUAUUAUCCUAUAUAUAAUAUCUACUCUAAAGAUUAAGAGGAUAGAGGGUCUCCCUUCCAUAGAUUCGAUUGGGAUUAAUUUUCAGGAUCGAGCACUUAUCAGAGGCGUGCCUACCGACACCUGUCAAAGUGUUCGACUUGCACGACGUCUCCUUCCAUUUGCUCCAGCUAUGAAAGAAACGAAUGGGCGCAACACUUUAUUCUCUUCGACCGCUCUUUACGAGGGACUACAGACAUUUAAGAAAAGUUUCCCUUUUUUCAUACUCUUAAUAGUGCAAUAGAGCUAAGUCAUUGAGAUUUAUUCAUACUUGUGCGUUUCUCAGAUUCAUUCGACUACCCAUCAUACUAGAGGUAGUUGAAAAGUAAAGUGUAAAGAUCCUUAUGGAUGAGUUUUCUUAGCAAGAGUCUUGAGAAAGUCAUGAGACUCCAGAGGGGCUUGAGAGAAGCCCAAAAGUAAGUUAAGUGUUGAGUUCAAUAAAAUGCACUCAUAUUCAUAUGAAUCGUGCCUUUGAGCUAAAAACGAGUUGUUCUCUUUUCCUUAAGCCUUGUUUUCAGCUGAGAUCCUUAUGAGGAGGUAUGUUUAGAGCUUGGGAAAUAUUUCCACCCCAAAAGGUAGUAUGAGUUACGAGAUCAUGAGCAGUAGUAGAGAAAGAGCCCAGAGUUAGAGGAAAGUAUGUAGAGUUUUAGUGAUUUAAGAAAGGGAGAUAGUGUUUUGAAGAGCUAUGUUAUUAUAGUCAUGCACCCAGUAGGUUAUUGAUGAUGAGUUUUCCCUUAUGGGUAGAGUAAGAGUUUCUAGUCAAGAUGAGAUAGAGUAUAUAUACAUUUUAACUAGAAUAGAGUUGAUGUCAAUGUGUCAUCCUGUUAGAGAAGACUAAAUUCAUGUGUUGAAUAAGAGAGCGGAGUAUUUAUGAAGUGAUUGAUCUAAGCUAGGCUUAUGAUUUGUUUGAGAGGGUUAUGAUGUUCAGAAGGAUAUAGAACUGAUCAAGUAAUGAGGUAUAGUAUAGUAGGUGAGCAAUCAUAUUGAUAUUCAGGUUUAGUUAUAGACAUUAAGCUUGAAUUUGAGAUGAGUGUCAUGAUCAAAAGAAUGGCAACAUGAGGGUGAUGAUGUUAGUAUUGAGAUUUGAUCUAGUAGACUUGACAUAGAGUAGGUGAGGAAUUGAGAUGGUUGCUACAAUGAAUGUGAGUAGUACAAGUGAGAGACCCUAACCUUUAGAUAAGGGCGGUGAAGUGUGGCUAAGUCACAAGAGUAACGAGAAGCAUUAAGAGGUGUACUGAGAGGGUGCGUAAUCAAAAGAGGUUAAGAGAAACACCUUAGAAAGAGGUCAUAGUACCUGUCUAUUGAGAGUUCGGUAGUCAUGAAAUAACCUUCUCCUGAGUGUUAGAGUAAAAGAAGAUGUAGACCAAUUUAGAGUUGAUGGAAUAGGUCCAUAGCUUUCAAGUGUCAGCUUUAGACCUAAGGGGAAGAUGACAAGAUGAGAAAUCAAGUCAAGUUAUUAAGAGUAAGAUAGUAAUGAGUUCCGAAGAGUUUGGGGGAUAUCUUUUUAGAGGUUCUUUUAGUAGUGGAGUGCUGUUAAAAAGAGAAAGUUAAUGAUCUUAUCGUGGUAGUGAUGGUGCGUUUAUUCCGUCUAAGUUUAUUAAUGAGGAGGAAUAAAAAGAUGAGGUUUCCUAUGAGAAAUAGUUAAAUGGGAGACCUUAGUUGGUUUCGAAUAGUAAUGCGGACAAUUCUAGUUAUUAUGGCAGAAAUGAUAAGAGUAACCCCGUCUCAUACCCAGUCCAGCCGUCAUUCGAGGACAAAUGAUUCCAAGGGGGAAUAUUGUAACACCUCACUUUUAGAAAGAACUAGAAAGACUUAUAAUUGGGAAUAACCCGUUUUUGGAAAUAAUCAAAUUUGGAAAGUUUGACAAAGUUAAGCUAAGUAUGAGUUUUGGGUCGACUUCAAACAACCAUAAAUCCUAGAUCAGGAUGAUUUAGGUGUGCUACCAGAUACCGAAGGAAAUAUCUUUGAAUUAUCUUUCCAACUCCACCAAGUUUGAUCAGUUUCAAGUUCGUAUGAGGGAGAUAUGUCCAUUCGAAGUUGGGCUAUCUAGAUAAGGAAAGUCAAAACCGUAUUUAGAAGGGUAUUAUGGUCUUUUCACUACCCAAUUAAUUAAAUUCAUUUUUGGUAAUUAAGUUGGGGACAAACUAAUUGGAUUCAGUUUACGCUUCAUAAAAAUACGUUAGGGUUUUGAGAGAAGAGAAAAGAAUAGGAGAAAGAGGAGAGGAUCAAGGCGUUCGUCGAGGUUCUUGCAUUUUAUUGCAGAUUUUUGCCAUGGGUUUAAUCCCUAAGAGGUAUGUAAGCUUCCAUAGUGUUAGGUCUGUUCACCCAUAUGCCAAUCAUGUUAUUUUCAAUGAAAUUUCAUUCUUGAAGCUGAAAGAUUAGAGUUCUUGAUGAGUUCUUGAGAAGUGUUCUUGAAGUUCAUCCUAAAUCUUGUUGUGUUGGGGUUUUUGAUGAUUUCUUGAAAUGGAAGUGAGUGUUUUGAGGGCUGUAUUGAGUAGAUUAGAGUGUACUUAUGUUAAGUAAUUGAAUCCAAGUGAUUGGGGAAGAAAUCGUUCGAUUCUAGGUGAGUUAGGGUGAGAAAACCAGCAAGGAAAUUCGUUGGGUUUAUUGGGUUGGGGCUUGGCGCGUCAUGCCAGCCAGUGAGCCCUAUAUUAUUCGCUGAAGUUUAGGGGCUGGUGCCCCGCACCACUCAGUGCGCCAUGGUCGCAUGCCCCGUCCAGUUUGCAACCUACAAAUCAUUCAUUGCAUGAUCAUAACCUUGAAUUCAUAAUUCAAAUUCAAGGUAGAGUUAAGAGUUAAGUUUUGAGAAUUCUUUCGGACAUUCUAAGAAAAAUCCCUUUUGAGUCCUUUUGUGGAGUCUUCUACAACUUCUAGUAACUUGUUUUAAGACUCGAGCAAUUGAGUAUGAGAAUGUAUUCAUGAGUCUACUUUAUCAUCACGAUAUCCUUCAUAUCAUGAAACAUAACUCUUGAAUUCAUAAUUCAUAUUCAAGAGCGAGUUAAGAGUAGAGUUCAAGAAAAACUUUGAGUUCAAUUAUGAAUCCUUUGAGAUCAACUAUCGAUUUGAGCUAAGGUUUGAUGAAGUAAGUAUAAGAAUGAGAAUAGUCGGAUACAUGAGUUCCAUAUUGUUAUGUAGACCCUUGAGUCGAGUCGUUCAUGCCCAUAAAUUCCGCAUGAACUUCAUAAAUUGAGUACCUUUGAGAGGAAUAGUAUAUUCAAGUUCUAAGUCUUGAGUAUUGAGUUCCUAACCCUUUUAAGAUUAUAUUCCUAAUAUGUCACGACCCAAGGGUACCCCCUAGAUGUAACACGACGUACUCGACUCCAAAAGGGGUGUCAUACAAGCCCUUAGCAUAUCAUAACGUAAGAUAAAUAGAAAUGAUGCGGAAUUAAAACUUUUUCCAAUCGAAGUCUUUUCAUAAAAUCCAUUGGAUGUCUAGACAUUGUCUCAAUAACCAUCUAAUGCAAUCGAGUAUCAAUAAGGGUCACAGCCCUUUACAACAUAGUCUCAAAAGCGAAAGUAAGAAAGAAACUAUAAAUGAACAACUCUCAUCCUCGAACCAUGAAGACUCACCAAAAGUGUGGAAAGAAUCAAUCCAAGCUUUGAACAAUAAGAGAAGCACACCUCAACAACCGAGCCCUACACUUAUAGAAAAAUGUAGAAAAUAUGGGUUAGUACAAAAUUACACUAAGUAUGGAAGUCAUGCAUAAAAAUCCUUAAAACAUGCAAAAGGGGACAGUUUAGUUGAAACCAUGCACUUUAUCAACUUUAAGAGUCAUCAUGCACAUUAGUGUAAAUACAUUAGUCAAACCAUCUCAUAAGAAACCCUAAGUUAUACUUGUGCAAUGCAUAGAUAAGAUCCCAUAAUCCUAUCUAAUAUUAAGUACCACUUUUAGGUCACCAUGUUCAUGCAUAUCAUACCUUGACCUCAUCCAUAGCCAACACUCAUAAACAAGUAAACAUUCAUGCUCAUAGCUUGUAACAAGGAAAGCCACCCAUAGCAACAAUCCAUAUUAUACAUGCAUAAAUUCAUAUAUCUUCAUAGCAUCAGAAAACCACACCAUAACCUACUUUCAAGCCUACUUGUGCAAUGCAUGAAUGAAGUCACAUACCCCCACUCACACUAAGUAGAGCUCCUUGAGAAGUCAUAAGUAUAGUUCAUGUUCAUGUUCAUGUUCUUGUCAUAAUUCAUAUUUUUGUCAUGUUCGGAAAUAGCCUUAAUCGACAUAGACCAUGUGAACUACAUGGAAUCCGGUGUACUUCCCCACACCGAAAAGAGGUAUCCUACUUGCCUAAGGUAGAACUAGUUUGUUAGCUUAGGUGGAUCCACUAGCUAAAGACCUAUGUGGGCACAUAGUUACUGGAUAAAGAGAUUGCUACUAGUAACUCGGACUAACUAAGGUAAAAGGUUUCCAUCUCAUGAGAUAAUUGUUUUGGGAACCCGGACUGGUUGGCGUAAAAGGAACCCAGUUAGAAAGCCGGACUAACUGACGUAAAAGCUUUCAUCUCAUUUUUAUAUCCACUCGGUGCUAAGCAUAAUUCCCUUUAAAUUCAUGUUAAGUCUUUACUUAAGUUCAUGUUCAUGAAAGAAUGUCAUAGCACUCAAACCAACAUGGUAUCAUGAUAGCUCAUAGAUUCAUUAGGUGAGAAUAACAUUUCAACCUUAAAAUCAUUAAUAUGUGAGUAAACCUUUCACAUCAUGUUCAUAGUGUGUUCAUGAGAAUAGUCUUUCAAUCAACACAAUAAUAUUAUCAUAGUCAUAGACAUUUCAUGCAUAAUCAUGUGUAAGGGCAUAGGGAUAAUGAACUUUCAACAAUACCACAAUUACACCAUAGUCAUAGGAUCUUCACUCUCUAAGUGAAUCAUGAGCUCAUACACAAUUUCUCAUAAACAUGUACAAUUCUCAUAAUUUUCCCUUCAAGGACCAUGAAUCACAUUCAACCCAAACAUCUAGAAUUUCUACAUUAGAUAUGGGAGUAUAUCAUGAUUCAAUAAACUCAAUCAAUAUAGACAUAAUAUAUUCACAUGCUUCUAUAAUCAAUCAACCCACAUCAUGAAAUCACAAUUUAGUAAUAUGGGGAAUUCAUAGGGUUCUUGGGGGGCUUUCGAUCAUAAAUCAACAAUAAAUCAUCAAUUCAAUCAUAAUCCAUCCUAAAUCAACCAUUGAAAACGUUUUAGAAAGGAACUCGUGACUUAGAGUGAAACCCUAGCUUUUGGGGAAAUUGAAAGCUUUGAAAUCUAGUUUUGAAGGGACUCUAUGGGUAAAAGCUACCCAUAGAUGAAAAUACAUCAUACCUUGAUAAAGAAUCUCCAAAGAAUUUGAGGAGGAAGACUUUAUUUAUUCAAACCAUAGCUCCAACUCUACUCUUCUUCUUCUUUGAGUUUUAGAGAGAGAAAUAUUGUGAGGAAGAUGAACUUUUGGUUUGUAUUUGGGUGUUUGUGAAAAAUGACUUAGUUUAGGGAAUUUUGACUUAAAAACAACUUAUUACUGAGUUGAAUAUCUUAUCCUUGAGUACUUCUGUGUUGAGUAAGUUUGAGUUAGUUUUGAGUAUCCUUGAAGUUAAGUUUGAAAAGAGGUAAGUAUGUUUCUUUUUUAUCAAGUUCAAGCUUAUGUUAUGCUUUAGAAUUUCCCUUACAUGCUUGUACAUUCCACGUACUGAGUCAUUUGACCUGCAUCAUUUCAUGAUGCAGAUACAGGUAUUCAGGGUCAUCAACAGGAGUUUCGUUGAUACCACAUGGAGUUCGAGUUAGCUAUGGUGAGCCUCAUUGCUUCCGGAGGGUUCCACUUUUACUUUCAGUUAUAUCAGUUGUUAGGAAGUCGUGGGUCUUGUCCCGACUUCCAUCUUUGUCAUUUAGAGGCUUCAUAGAUAGACUGUAGAGUUUCAGAAGUCCGUUCAUUUAUUUUAUUAAAUGUUUUAAAGACUUAAGUUGCAUAUUUUAUGGCGAGUUGAAAAAUUUAUUUGUAUUCAGAGUUUUUCAUUUGAGUUAAAUAUUUGUAAUUGAGUUUCAUGAAUUUUUAUUCAGUUUUUAAGCUUUGUAGUUAGUCUUCCGCUUGUAGUCAGUCAGGAUGAGGGUUCACUUGGAGACCAGUAAUGAUUCUCGAGUGCCGACCACGUCCAGGGUGUAGGCUCAGGUCAUGACAAUAUUUUUGUGAAUAUUUUGAAUCAAAUAAAGAGAAGAAGAUAAAAACAAUUUUUUUUUAAAGAAAAAAAAACGGAUGACAAUAAAGGUAAAUGGAAGGUUAUUAGGAAGACAUUAAUAGUGGAGUAAUAAUGGGGAGAGAGAAAGUGUACUGCAGCUAUUUUUCUAAAUUAAAUGAGAAAAAUAUUUAAAAUUUUGCAAAAAAAAAAAGAUAAAUAGGGAUCCUAUAUAUAUAUAUAUAUAUAUUAUUCUUAUUGGGUGUGUGCCAAAAUUUGUAGACGAUAAAAUUUGCGUCGAGAAAACAAUAAUCAAGAACGGAAAAAUAUCAGAACAAUCGUAUUUAUUAUUUCAGAGUGCGAGUGUUACAAUCUCUAUGAUUCCUCUGAAAUCGCCUUUUCAAAUAUAAAUUUAAGGGUUCUUGAGCUUGAUCUUGAAUUUAUCUUGAACUUGAUCUUGGAAUCAAGGACUUUAAAGCUUAUUCGUGAUUCUUCAAUGAACUUGAACUCUGAACUUUAUCUUGAUCUUGACUUAUACUUGAAUUCAAAGGCUUCAAGCUUGUUCUUGAAUCUGAUAAUCUUGAUUUUGACCGUUCUUGAACAUGAAUCCUUGAAUUCUUAAACUUGUAGCUUAUAGAGAAUUUUAUGGCAUUUGUACCACGGAUUUUCUCUAGCUUCUUGUUUAGAAAUUUUGGUCCAUUUUAUGAAUUAUGAGAACCCCUAUUUAUAGUUUUAGAAGAGAAAAGUUGUGAUUGGAACAUGAUUUCCUUUGGCCAAUCAGAUUUAAGUGACAUGACAUAUGGGCUUUAUGGAGCGGACUUGUCAUUUUUGACACAUGUCAUGAUCCUAUUGGCUUCUUGUUUGACUUGGCAUGCCACGUUAUUUGCCACGUGGCACCAAAAUACGCCUCUAGAAUGAGAUGAAAUUGGGCUCAUCUAUUGUAGCUCAAAUCAAUUAAUUUGGACUAAUUAAAUUCAUAUUCAUUGGAUUUAAAUAAUUAACCCAAUUAUAUUAUUUAAUAAUAUUUAUUUGGACUAAUAUAUUCAUGAAUUUAAUAUAAUCCGAAUCAUUUUAUAAAUUUAUAUUUAAUAAAUUUUAAAUGAUUGCAAUUUGUAGACAUUGAAAUUUUAUUGGACUCUACAAGACGUGUUCAAUUCGAAUUGUGUUCAGUUUCAAUUAGAAUUCUUGGAGGCUACCAACCCUAAACCCUAGUUCAUACCUAUAAAAAGGGUACUGAAUUUCCUUAAAAGGCAUCUUUAUUAUUCCGCAAAUUCAUGGAAUAUUCAUAUAGAGGUCAAAUCUAAAUCAUUGCUAUUCAAAAAAUACGCCACUAACGGCUCUCGAAUCAUGGAAAAAUAUUAGGAGAGUAGAAUUAAGGGAGGAAUAGAAUUGUACCCGCACUAUUAGAAAUAAAAUAUUCAUGUUUCUUCAGAUUUUAUUUGUAUGGUUGAUUUAUUUCCAUAUGUUUAAAAUUUGUUGCAAACAAAUUGGCACGCCCAGUGGGACAAUCUCUACCUCUCAUCUCAACUUUUCAAGCAUCAAAGAAUAUCGAGAUGACUUCCAUGAAGAACAACUCUCAAUCAAAUGCCUCUAAGGCAACUAGCUCCAAAUUAUCUACUGAAGUUGAAGGAAUUCUUGGUGUUACCUUUGGAAGUUUCGAAGUUGUUACGAGGAGCAAGGUUGCUAUGCUAGGACAACAAACACUUCAAGUGUCGUCCGCGUUAACUCCAGUUUUUGGGUCUGCGACUUCAAAAAGAUCAAGUUCCUCCACAAAUUCUUCAGAAGGAGGAAUCAGCGUUGUUGAAAAGAUCAAGAAAACCUUAACUCUACUUAAGCAAUCUGGUUCCAAGAACUCUACUACAAGGGAGAACUAUGAUUCAACCACUGAAUCAUCUCCACAUGUAUCGCAUAACGUAAGCCUGCUGAAGAUUAACUUACGCGACAAUCCAUUCUACUCUCCUACAUCUCCAAUGAUCAUGCAAACAAUGGUGAAUGUUGCUUCUUCCUCUGAGGAACAACUCGUAGAUCUGAAAAAGUUGGUUGAAGGAUUGACAAAGCAUGUACAACACUAAGAAUCUCAAAUUGAUAAGUUGAUGGAUAGGAUGGAAGGACUUUUAGAUGGAGAACCGAUACAAACGCCUGGAAAGGGUGUUGAAGUUCAAGAGAUCGGACAUCCUGUGAAGAAAGCACCGCUUGUUAAUGAGAUGCAAUUUCUUCUGAAGGAAUGAUCUCACUCGAUCGCUUGAAGGAGCUUAUUGAAGGCACAAUCAAAGAUAAGUAUGAAGUCUCCACCAAGCCUUCUCAUAUGUAUGCCAAGCCAAACACCGUAAGAAUUGAUAACUUUAAAAUGCUUGGUGGUUAUCAACCUCCCAAAUUUCAAAAAUUUGAGGGUAAAGGAAAUCUGAAGCAACAUGUUGCACACUUUGUGGAGACAUGUAAUAAUGCUGGAACAUAUGGAGACCAUCUUGUCAAGUAGUUUGUCCACUCUAUAAAAGGAAAUGUCUUUGAUUGGUACACGGAUCUUGAGCCCAAUUCUAUUGAUAGUUGGGAGCAACUAGAGCACGAGUUUCUCAAUCGCUUCUAUAGCACGAGGCGUACGGUGAGUAUGGUAGAACUCACGAAUACUCACCAAAGGAAGGAUGGACCGGUUAAAAUUUUCAUAAAUCGAUGGAGGAACACGAGCCUAAAUUGCAAGGAUAGGCUUAGUGAAGCUUCUGCAAUAGAAAUGUGUAUCAAGGGAAUGUGUUGGGAGCUUAUUUACAUCUUACAAGGAAUAAAACCAAAAUCCUUUAAAGAUAUAGCCACUCGCGCUCAUGAUAUGGAGUUGAUCAUGUCCUCUGCUGGAAAAGAUAUGACGUUUUUCCAUGAUCCUCGCAAAUGAAGAGACAAGCAGAAACCCAAGAGAUGGAGAAAUUUUGUGCCCAGAAAUGACAACAAAGAAUCUGUGAAUGUUAAGGUGCCGCCUGCGAAGUUCACUAUGAACGAGGGAAUGAAGCAAAAUGCGAGAACGACUUUCCAAGCACGUUCAAAUCAAAAGUCGACACUAAGGGAGAUGCAAGGGAAAAAAUAUCCCUUCUUGGAUUUUGACGUUUCUGAAAUUUUUGAUGAGUUGUGAGUCAUUCUCUUGAAAAAUGUUGUCUAUAAGGAUAGAGUGAUGCGAUUGGUUAACGAAAAGAAAAUUGUCCUUGAUGAUGAGAAGGCUAGUUCUAACCAAAUAUCUAUCACAUUUGGCUCGCUCGAUCCAGUCCAAAUAUAUAUCUCUGAAAGCAUGUAGAAGAGUCAUUGGAGCAAGAAAUUGAUAUAGAUGGUGAUAAAGGCUGGAUUCUUCUGACUAGGCGAAGACGCAACAAGUCAAGCUUACGAAAAGAAUCAUUUGAGCAACCGAUUAGAAGGAAAAUGGUGAGGAAAUUGGAGAAGCAUAAAUCAAUCCAACUCCCAAAAAGGGCAAAGGUAGAAGUGCAUCACUACUAAAAAUCUCGACGUCUUGUGACUCUAGAGAAAUUCUUACCAAGUUCGUUCUGCACAAAGUCUACUCAAGACAAUGUUGAGGAUUAUGUUUCAAUCCUGAUAAAGAAGAAACAAUGAAAGUGCCUCCUACUAACAAAGAAGGAACAACGAGUGAAUCCUCACAAAAAGUAUCUCCUAGUGACGAAGGAAAAGCAACAAGGGAAAUCUCGUCAAUAAUGUCUCCUUCAUCUUUUGAAAAACCAAUUGAACCUUUUUCCCAAGAAGCACAUACAUGUAAUACAAAAAAUCACAUUUACAAAUAAUGUUCUUCUAUUUGGUGAAACACUACACAAUCGUCCCUUGUAUAUGGUGGGUCACGUGCUAGAGAAGAAGAUAAAUAGAAUCUUAAUAGAUGAAGGGUCUGGAGUCAACAUUCUUCCUAUCCACACAUUGAAGAAACUCGGCAUCACGGCUGAAGAACUUAGUGAAAAUUGUUUGUUGAUACAAGAAUUUAAUCAAGGGGGACAGAGGUCCAUAGGCUCUAUUAAAUUAGAAAUUCACAUGGAAGAUUUGCGGUCAAAUGCAUGAAUGCAUGUGAUCGAUGUAAAGACUUCAUAUAAUAUAUUAUUUGGCAGGCCUUGGGUACAUGAGAAUAUAAUUAUCUCAUCUUCUUACUAUCAAUGUUUGAAGUAUCUCAAAGUGGGGAUUGAAAGAAAGAUAGUUGUAGAUGAUAAUCAUUUCACCGAAGUAAAGACACACUUUACCGAUGAAAAAUUCUAUUUUAAGGGUUAUGUUGUUAACCGGGCAAAAUCUAAUGAUGUUAAUCAAUCAAGUGCGAUAAGAUCACAAGAAAAACAAUUGUUGAGGUUGUUGCAAUGGUUGACACUAAAGAACUUUGUCCAUUCUUCAUGAAGGGAAGAUCAUGUCUUCGAAGAAGAAGCUAACUUCUGGACUUUCCUAUGUUCCAAAAGUGAAUAAAGAAAAAGGUCAAUCAUCUAACAUUCAAGAAAAUGCAUUCAUAGGGCUAACUCUUCCUAUCAGACGGAUCAAUGCAAUAAACUUGUCUUCGAAGCUGUCAGGAAUGUCAAUCGCUCAAAAUCAAGUGCGAGAUGUGGCACUCCCUACAAAGCGCACAAGAGAAGGUUUUGAUCUCAAUGCUUACAAGUUAUUUGUGAAGGCUGGAUACAACCCUAAUGAGCCAUCGAUGUUAGGGAAACUCCCAUCAGAAGAUACAACUAGGCAAGCACGUGAAGGCCUAGGCUAUAGUCAACCGCCGCCAAUUUGCAUUUCCAUAAGAAGGGCAAGCAAUAACCAUAUAACUUUUGAAGAUGGCGUCACUACUCCCAAUAAAAAGCCUUCCGUCUUUUAUCGUCUUGGAGAAACAAGAACUUUUGUGUUUGAGAGGUUAGGUCCAUUGAAGAAGAAGAAUAACAAGAAUCUGAGAAGUUAUCUAAAAGUGACAACGCUUGCUUCACCUAUUAUCCAAAAGGAUUUCAAAAGUUUGAUUCUUUCUAGAAAGAGGCGACGAGUGGAACUUGUGGUUUCUUGCAAAGAGGAACUCAAGGCAAAAGUUCACACUAUAGUUUACACUAAGGAGCGUGAGAAAGAUGAAGAAAGUGUAGGCUCCUCAUAUCAUGUUACGAUCCAAAAUGAGCACGGUGUCUUGCCUGAAAUGAAGAUUGAUGAAGAGUUGGAAGAUAUUGUCUAGUGUCGUCAUAUAUCACAAUGAUCCUCUAGAAGAGGAAGAUACUGGAGAUGCUCCACCAGAACUUGAAGAAGGAGUGAAGACCACAAUAGAUCCCUUAAAGGAAGUUAACAUUGGCACUAAUGAAGACCUAAGGCCAACUUAUUUGAGUGCCUUUCUAGAAGUUAAUGAAGAAAUCACUUAUAUGAAUAUACUCAAAGAAUAUAAGGAUGUCUUCUCUUGGAGUUAUAAAGAAAUGUCUGACUUGAAUUCUAAAGUAGCAGUCCAUCAGUUGACAGUAAAAAAUGGUUCUCAUCCUAUUAAACAAGCCCAAAGACGUUUUAGGUCAGACUUGGUUCCAUUGAUAGAAAAUGAAGUUAACAAACUCAUUGAGACAGGCUUUAUUAGUGAGGUCAAAUAUUGUUCAUGUGAGGAAGAAGAAUGGUCAAAUUUGAGUUUGUGUUGACUUCAAAUAUCUCAAUAAUGCAUUCCCUAAAGAUGAGUUCCCUCUUCCCAUUUCAGAAUUGAUGAUUGAUGUCACCACUGGUUAUGAGGCAAUGUCUUUUAUGAAUGGUUCUUCCGGCUAUAAUCAAAUUCGCAUAGCUCCAAAAUAUGAAGAACUCGCUGCAUUUCGCACACCUAAGUGUAUUUAUUUCUACAAAGUGAUGUCAUUUUGUUUAAAGAAUACUGAUGCCACAUAUCAAAGAGCUAUGCAAAAUAUAUUUGAUGACUUGCUUCAUAAAAAUGUUGAAUGCUAUGUUGAUGAUUUCGUGGUAAAUUCAAGGAAGAGGGGUGAUCAUUUGAAAGAUUUAAGAAUGGUGUUUGAAUUGCUCCGUAGAUAUCAACUAAGGAUGAAUCCAUUGAAGUGUGCCUUCGGAGUUACUUCUAGGAAGUUCCUUGGUUUCAUUGUAAGACAUAGAGGAAUUGAAAUUGAUCAAGCCGAAGUUGAUGCCAUUUCAAAGAUGCCCGAGCCUCGAAAUAUUUAUGAGUUAAAAGUCUCCAAGGAAAACUAGCCUAUUUGAGGAGGUUCAUCUCAAAUCUAGAGGGAAGAUGUCAACCAUUCGGUCAUCUCAUGAAGAAAGGUGCCCCAUUUAAUUGGGACCAAACAUGUGUUUACAUCCCUACUUAAUUUGAAUAGGGCGAAACGUCGUGGUAACUCAACAAAUAAUCAAUUAAUUGAAUUUUUAAUGAAUUUUAAGAAUAAACGAAUUUUAAAGAAGUCGCCACCUAAUUUUAGGAAAAACUAAGAAACCAAUUAAAAAUAUCUACGAAACCAAUAGAUUCUAGGUAAGAGGUUUAAGUUAUUUGAAGGGAAGGUGUUAGGCCUCCUUCGAAAUCCACAAUUGUAGAUCCUGACUGAAUUCAUUUUUUUUUUCAAAUUGAGGAGGAGAUAACAAACAAUAUACAAGUGUAAUAAAAUAAAAACAAUAGUAUAAGAAACGGCCUAAGGUUUGCCUAACAUCGUUUUAUACAAAAUAAUGAAUAGAAAAUAUAAUUCAAACUCCUUUCUAAUAAUUUCAAUGGGAAGUAACUCUGGGGUACCUAUAAACACACUUAGUAAAAGUAUUAAUAAUAAAUAAAUAUGAAUAAAAUUGAAUAACUCAAAUAACAACUUUAAAAUAAAAAUAAAAACUUGUCUUAUUAACAUGGAAGGCCUUGAAAAUCGACGGUAAUUUUUUAUCGGCCAAUUCUAACAUAUAACAAAUAUAAACUUAAACUAAAUUUUCGUCUUUUACAAUAUGGAGGCCUCCAAAACUGAUGAAAAGAUUUUCUCAUUGGUCAAUUUUAACUUGUGAUUAAUGCAAAAGCUAACAUAUUAAAAUAAUCAAAAUGAGACCAUGAUAAUUAACGUCAAAUGAGACAAAGUAACAAACUAUAGAUUAAAUUUAAAAUAAUACACAGUGACAAUGUAUCAACGGUGAUGUUAGCAGGAAGUAAAAUUUAGCAGGGAAGAAUAUGAAAAUAAUAAAAUCAAUAUUAAUCAAAAUAAUAUUAAAUUUACUGGACCAUAUGUUCGAUCAAAACAAAAGUCAAUUCAAUAUGAGCUAACAUAGUAACAGGAAUAAACAAUUAAGUUGGGAGAAAAUUAAAAUGAAACCAUAAAAAAAAUAUUAUAAUGAUAACACAAAAAUCAAUGCAAGACUCAAAGAUCAUAGUAUAACGGAAGCCUAUCCAGAUCUAAAAUGUAUGAAACAAAGCAACACUAAGGGUGUGUUUGGUAUAAGGAAAACAUUUUUCGGAAUAUUUUUCAAUUCUCUCAUGUUUGGUUGGGUUAAGUGUUUUGGAAAAUAUUUUUCAAAUCAAUUAAUUUUUCUCAAAUUUAAGAAAAAUGACUUUCUUUCAAAAUUUAAAGAAAAUAUUUUUCAAAACUCUCUUCCAACUUCAAAUUACAAUUUUUUUUUGUUGAAAAAAUCAAUUUAUUUUGUCUCUACCCUCAAACAAGCCUCCCAAACCACCACACUCUUCGGAAAAAAAAAUUAAAACUUGUUUUUAAAAAACAUUUUUUAACUUCAAUUUUUUUAAUCCACCCUUACUCCUACCCCCCAGCCCCCUACCACCACCACCACCCCUCAAAAGAAAUAUUAAAAGUUGCUUUUGAAAAAUAUUUCUAAUUUUAAUUUUUUACUUUUUUACCCCCCUAACACCUACCUUCGCCCCCCAUCAGCCCCCUACCAACCCCAUAUCCCCCUUCAAAAAAAAAUAAUUUUAAGCUUGUUUUUUAAAAAAAUAUUUUUAACUUUUAAAUUUCAUUUUUUUCACCCGUACCCUCGACUCCCCCCACGCACCCAUCCCCUACCAGCCCCCUCCACCUCAAAAAAAAAUUUAAAUUUUAUUUUUAAAAAAAUAUUUUUCAACUUCAAAUUUUUAUUUUUUCACCCCUUACCUUCGACCCCGCCACCCCUCCCCCCAAAAAAAAUUAUAUUUAUUUUUAAAAAAUAUUUUCAACUUCAAAUUUUUAUUUUUUCACCCCUUACCUUCGACCCCGCCACCCCUCCCCCCAAAAAAAAUUAUAUUUAUUUUUAAAAAAUAUUUUCAAUUUCAAAAAUUAUUUUUUACUCUAGUAAAAAUAAUAAAUAUUUUUCAUUCAUAAAUCAAACACUAAAAAAAAAUUUCAAAAAAUAUUUUUUAUUCACCAAUCAAACAUAAAAAAAAAAUCAAAAAUUUACUUAUUUUUCACAAAAAUAUUUUCAUUCGUACCAAACGCACCUAAGAGAGAAUCAACACUUCAUCAAAAUAACAAUAAUCUCGUUAAACAAAACUGCCAAGACAUUUCACAAUAAAAAUCAAAAGAAACACAAACAAGAACUAAAGCCAUGGAAAAAUAAAAAAUAAAACAGAGGGCGUUCGAGCAGCGAACCUCGCCGGAAAUAGAGUUCGUUGGUAGGACAGUGUGCUGCAUUGUAGUUUCCAGCUUGGAGCCUCAGUCUCGAUAGGGUCGGUGGCUCGUGGUUUGUUCCGCCGGAGCUCGAAGUUUUGAAACUGUUGACUUCUUCUCCGUUCGUCGGAGCUACUUGUAGAGCUCGGAGUUCCCCAUUAAUGGCGGAGCUCGAGCAAGGAGGAAGGAGGAAGUGGUGGUUGACUAUUUCGAGGCUGCUGGAUGUGGGUUCGCUGGUUGGUUUCAGGUGGUCGUUUGGAGAUUGUUUCGGUCGGAGUUAGUGGAGGGUUUUGGGUCGGGGUCUGGAGGUGAGCUUUAGGGGUCGCUUCCGGUGGUUUUUGGUGGUUAUUUCAGUUGUCUUGUUUGCCGGAGCUCAGCUCUUCAUGAAGCAGUGGUGGUGGCUGGCAGAUCUGACGAUUUCAGGUGAGCUUGAGGGUUUGUUUUUACCAUUGUUAGGUGUUAUGAAGCUGCUGGUUGGGUUUCUUUUAGCAGAAAAUAAAGCAGGGAAUCAUUUGGUGGUUUGGGGUGGUGUUUGGGUGGUUGGAAGUGGGAAAAAAAAUGAUGGAAAAUGGUGGUGUCGGAGAGCUGCUGGUGGCAGCAAAUGAGGAAGAGAAGAGAAGGGGAAAAUGGGGUCUUUGGGUGGCUGCUUCAGCUCGCUGGUUUGGAGUUGAAUCCGGUGGGGUUUCGCCGUGAAAAAAAAGAGAAAUUGAAUAGGGAUUUUGGAUUGCUGGAGUUUCGCCCGAAUUUGGGGUGGUGAUAACCGAAAAAUUAAUGAAUACUUCACCCUUUUGUUAUUUAAAAAUAUGAAAAUUUACAACCUUCAUUUAAAAAAUAAUUCAUCACCCCUUAACUUAAUGAAUAAGCUAUUGUUUAAAUAGGAAAUAGAGAACCACAAAUAUUACAAUUC